GACGAACGCUGGCGGCGUGCCUAAUACAUGCAAGUUGAGCGAUGAAGCUUGGUGCUUGCACCAAUUUGAAGAGCAGCGAACGGGUGAGUAACGCGUGGGGAAUCUGCCUUUGAGCGGGGGACAACAUUUGGAAACGAAUGCUAAUACCGCAUAACAACUUUAAACAUAAGUUUUAAGUUUGAAAGAUGCAAUUGCAUCACUCAAAGAUGAUCCCGCGUUGUAUUAGCUAGUUGGUGAGGUAAAGGCUCACCAAGGCGAUGAUACAUAGCCGACCUGAGAGGGUGAUCGGCCACAUUGGGACUGAGACACGGCCCAAACUCCUACGGGAGGCAGCAGUAGGGAAUCUUCGGCAAUGGACGAAAGUCUGACCGAGCAACGCCGCGUGAGUGAAGAAGGUUUUCGGAUCGUAAAACUCUGUUGGUAGAGAAGAACGUUGGUGAGAGUGGAAAGCUCAUCAAGUGACGGUAACUACCCAGAAGGGGACGGCUAACUACGUG
rnacentral:rRNA from 1 species